AUUGAACGCUGGCGGCAGGCCUAACACAUGCAAGUCGGGCGGUAGCACAGGAGAGCUUGCUCUCUGGGUGACGAGCGGCGGACGGGUGAGUAAUGUCUGGGAAACUGCCUGAUGGAGGGGGAUAACUACUGGAAACGGUAGCUAAUACCGCAUAACGUCGCAAGACCAAAGAGGGGGACCUUCGGGCCUCUUGCCAUCGGAUGUGCCCAGAUGGGAUUAGCUAGUAGGGUGAGGUAAAGGCUGACCUAGGCGACGAUCCCUAGCUGGUCUGAGAGGAUGACCAGCCACACUGAAACUGAGACGCGGUCCACACUCCUACGGGAGGCAGCAGUGGGGAAUAUUGCACAAUGGGCGCAAGCCUGAUGCAGCCAUGCCGCGUGUAUGAAGAAGGCCUUCGGGUUGUAAAGUACUUUCAGCGGGGAGGAAGGUGUUGUGGUUAAUAACCGCAGCAAUUGACGUUACCCGCAGAAGAAGCACCGGCUAACUCCGUGCCAGCCGCCGCCGUAA
rnacentral:rRNA from 1 species